CUUCUCUUUCCUUCUCCAUUCCCCCCACUCUGGUGCUGGGGAUUGAACCCCGGGCCUCAACGCAUGCUCCCUGUGUAGUCCCAAGUAGAGCAGGCCUCCCAGCUCUGCUCCCCCUGGCCAUGAUGGCCCUCUUCUUACUUGGUUCACCAUGGUUCCCUUGUUUUGUAAACUCAGCAGAGAUCUGACUUUUUUUUUUUUUGUUUUUUUCUGAAGGGCUAUGUUAACUGGAAUGGGUUAAGGGUGCACCCCUGCAUUAGUAGAGGCAGAGAUUGAUAAAACCUCAUUCUCUUUCAGAUCUACUGGCCUAGUAUCCGUCGGGCUGCUGAAGGCAGGACUGGAGAAAUGACUUUGUAGUUCUUGCCACCUGGGCAUGGAGGCCUGCGUUUGGAUUUGCAGCACCCAUGUAAAAGCCAGGGGGAAAGGCUGGGGUGAUGGCUCAGCAGUUAAAGCCCUUGCCAUGCAAGUGU
rnacentral:lncRNA from 1 species